rnacentral:lncRNA from 1 species
AUCAAUAAUAAGAUAAAUAAAUCGAAAAUCAUCAUGAUGUAUUACUAAAAUUGUUUACAAACUAAAAAAUCAAGCAUUUCGAUAGUUUCUAGCCUAUGUAUCAAGUGGGUGUAGAAAGAAAUGAUUAAAGUAAUGUCAGAUCAUGUUUUCCUUGUAAUCUAAAUAUUAAAGUUUAUUGAUUUUGAAUCUAUAUGUAUAUCCUGAUUAAUAUAACGGAUUCUCAA